rnacentral:rRNA from 1 species
GUAGGUGGCAAGCGUUGUCCGGGAUUAUUGGGCGUAAAGCGCGCGCAGGCGGUUUUUUAAGUCUGAUGUGAAAGCCCACGGCUCAACCGUGGAGGGUCAUUGGAAACUGGAGAACUUGAGUACAGAAGAGGAAAGCGGAAUUCCACGUGUAGCGGUGAAAUGCGUAGAGAUGUUGAGGAACACCAGUGGCGAAGGCGGCUUUCUGGUCUGUAACUGACGCUGAGGCGCGAAAGCGUGGGGAGCAAACAGGGAUUAGAUACCCUGGUAGUCCACGCCGUAAACGAUGAGAGCUAAGUGUUAGGGGGUUUCCCGCCCCUUAGUGCUGCAGCUAACGCAUUAAGCACUCCGCCUGGGGAUACGGCCGCAAGGCUG